rnacentral:rRNA from 1 species
ACGUAGGGAGCAAGCGUUGUCCGGAUUUACUGGGUGUAAAGGGUGCGUAGGCGGCUUUGCAAGUCAGAUGUGAAAUCUAUGGGCUCAACCCAUAAACUGAAUUUGAAACUGUAGAGCUUGAGUGAAGUAGAGGCAGGCGGAAUUCCCCGUGGAGCGGUGAAAUGCGUAGAGAUGGGGAGGAACGCCAGGGGCGAAGGCAGCAUGUUGGGCUUUAUCUGACGCUGAGGCACGAAAGCGUGGGUAGCAGACAG